rnacentral:lncRNA from 1 species
UCUUUUCAAAAGUGGCUAAUCUCAAGCCAUGAUCGGAGACCAACCACAAGCAAUGGACAAUGAGGGUUGGCCUCUCUUGGGCAAGGGUCGCCCUUGCCUAGCGAGGGCCAUCAGACCAUUGUCAGCCUCGCCAAUUGCAACAAAAAAGGGAAAGAAAAGAGAAAAAUAAAGUCUAAAAAUUGAGAAAAGUUACAAAAAUUGUCCAUAUUAUUAUUGACAGUGUUAUGUAGAAUAGUUGACAUCCACAUUAUGAUUUGUUCGAAACCUCUAAGGCAAGUUCAUUUGUGUGGUUCAAAGUGUAAUGUAGAUGAUAAAUGCAGGAUUUCUUCCGCACUAAUUUGGAUAGAGGCAAAAUUUAGUGGUUACAUUUCGAAUCAAUCUUGAUUGCAAUAUGUUGGAUUCGAUAUUGUUAUGUUCACUAUAAUUUUUUUUUUUAUCAAUCCGGGUCGUCACCUGAUUUUUGCCUGCAAAUUACAUUUUUGUAUAAAAAAGAAAAGGAGGGUUAUAAAAAUAUAUAUAACAAAUGACAAAUAAAAAAAUAAAAAUAAAAAAGUGCUCAAUUGGGUCUAGUCCAUCAUACCUCGACCCACCAAGCCAGAUCACUCAAGUCCAAAUUUUGAUUCAAUUUGGCAUGGGCCCCUUUGAAAAGAUUGGAAUAACUUUCAAUAAUUUGCAGCCCAAGGCCUGGAUCUCCUUCUAAUUCGGUUCUCGAUUUCAACUUCGUCGCUCGUCUUCAAGCUUCGAGGAAUCGGUAUUCAGGUUUCUCGCGGCAUUCGUGCUCUUCAAUCGCGAUGCUCUCGCGCUUGAGCUUCGAAUCGUGUACUCGGUCGAUGAGCUCGAGAUUGUUACCCGGACCCUCAACAACCUGAAGCCUUCGAGCUUCCAGUUUUCACUUAGCAUGGAAGUUUAUAAACUCAUUCGAUCGCUCCAACAGGAUCAAAUCUCUCUCAUUCUCUGAUUUCUAUUUUUUUUUUUUUAUUCAAUUGGCGACAUUGAUUUCUUGAUAUCUCGCGUGUGUCACCAGCAUUUUGCCUUGGUCAGCUCUGAUUCCACCGACGCAAUAAGUUUGGGAUCUCAUCUUCAGCGACGCUAUCGAUUCAGGAUCUAUAUUUCCUCUUCGCCAAGCUUUACUUUUGAUUUUUUCAGAUGUUCGUCGCUGAAGUCUGUUCUCUUUAGGUUGUUGAAGAUCGCGUUGGAUCGGAUUUCCUCUGUUAUGCUCUGUUUUCCGGUCAGAUUGAUCGAAGUAUUCAAAGCUGAUUCGUUUUUCCUUCAUUGGCCCAAUUUUCAACACCAACGCUUCCACGACGUCCGCUCUCCAGUCCGAUCACCAUUCGUAGCCAACCACUGCGCUUUCAAAGAAUGAGCAAGCUGGAAUGCGUAUUGAGAUUCUGAGAUUCGUUUGAGUCGUGAAGGAGAAGAAUCUGAGCUUUAUGGCUUGAUGAUGCUGAAAGGCAUGAACAGAAAUGGUGAUGAAAAUGCAGGAGUAGGAUUUGUGUUCUAGGAAAGAAAUUCUUGAAUCGCCUUUAUAUAGGUGAGAGGAUUUUUUCGUUAAUGAGUGGAUUUUAGCUGCGUUAAUAUUGUCUACGCAAAAAUAACUACGAAUAAGAAUUGUUCUUCACGAUCUCCACCCACUUGCUAAUUCUUAAAUCGUUUUUGACGCAAAAGAAAAAAAAAAUUGUGUUGAUUCCAUGAUUUGGUUUCGUGUUCUCUGUUCCCGCAAUCGAUACUAUGUCUCAAAGAUAAGAACAGGAGCUAAUCCAUAUUAGCGGCUAAAUCUGAAUGCGCCUCAACACAAUACGCAGAACAUAAUACGGUUUACACUAAGUUAUUAAGCAUGAUUUCUUGAUAUUCGUCUCGGUUGCUUGAAAUCUGAAUGCGUGAGUAUGCCUGUUCUCUGUACAUGUUAUAAUGCUCAGCUGAGAUGGGGGGUUUUUACUAUGGUUGCCGGUAUGGUUCGGAGAUGAUUGUUCGUAAGCGUGAUGGUUUCUAGUACUCCAUUCAUUAAUUGACAAACAUGAAAGCAAUAGCUCGCGGAUGUAGUUCAUGCACUAUUGAGUCUUUUUUAGUAAUUUGCACCAUGUUAACUCUUGACCUUGAUCACUAGUAUGGUAGUGACAUUAAAUCUAGAAAGUUUCUUAAACCUUAUAACUGAUAUAUUCAUCUUUUAAUUCUGGUAGUUAAUUGGCCAUUAUCCAAAAACGAAACAUCUUCCAAUAGUUCUUCCAUAUUUUGUUAUGGCAUCAAAAUUUAUAUUCUUAAAGCAUUAUUUCCUAUUCAAAAGCUUUUUAAUCCUCAAUAUGAAUUUUUUUCAUGCAUGGCCGACUAUGUCCUCUAUAUGUUUGGUUGUCCAAAUUUCUAAAUGAUAGGAUAUAAAAUUGAGAGGAUUUUAUUAUAUCAUAUCCACUAUUUGAUGAUUGUAAUAAUAAAGCCGGAUAUAUUCACAUUAUAUUAUAAAUUAUUUCGUAUGAACGCCUAUAUGAAUCACAAAUUUUACAAACGGAGUGAUAAAAAUCUCUCGCAAAACUUUUAUUUAUUUUAUUUUCUCUCUUUUUUAAUUAAUUUCUUUUUUAUUUCUUUCUUCCCCAUUCCAUCAUUCUCUAAUAAAAUUGUAUUAAAUAGAAAAUUGUACUAAUAUACCUAAAAUACUAAAACAUCUAAAAUAUGUAAUAGAUAUAUUUAUAUAUUGAAUUUAUAUUAUAAGAUAGAAUUAAAUUCAAAUAUAUAAAUAAAAAUAAGAUUAAAUCAAAAAAUAAAUUUUAUUUUUGUUAUUUUGAAUUUCUCAUAUUAGAAUUCGAAUAUUAUUUAUACUCAAAUAUAAAUUUAAUUUGUUAAUCUUAGAAAUUUGUCAUUUAAAAAAAAAAACUUUCCUAUCAUCGAUAUCAGAAAUCAUAUCUCCCUUUAUUUCACCCCUCCUAUGAAAUAAUUUUAUUUGAUCUAUAUCUCUUUAUAUAUGAUUUUAUCAUAUACCGAGCAAGCAUCAAACAAAGGAUGGGAUCAAUUUUAUCAUAUCUCGAAUUUUAUCCUAGCUGCCAAACGCAACCUACAUGUCUCUUGAGUAUCCAACUGUCACGUUCACAUAUAAUUAUCUCACAUAAAAUCUUGUUCAGAUUGUCAUCUAUUCAAUUAGCAACAAUAGAAAAUGGAUUGUUGGUGCAAGAAGCCUUUGUCCAUACAUGUUCUUAAGAUCCACUUAUAGAAAGAAAAGAAACGAAUAUGACCUUCCCAUUUAAAAGCGUGCUCAAUAUGAUUAAAAAAAUAGCAGUUUAAAGUGGUUUAUGAAUACAUUUUUUAGGAAACUUUUUAAAAAGUCUAGUAGAAUAUUAAUAAAAUGACUGAAUAAAAUAUGGUUAAGCGUAUUGGUACUUGUUGUGAAGAAUAAUAUAUGAUGAUGCACAAGGUCAGAAAUUUUUAUGAUCUCUAUUUCGUAGAAAGAAGAAAUUCAAGAACCUUCUAUUAGGUCUUCAUCUUCAUCUACCAAUGAACUGGCGAUGUACUUGAGAAUGGAUUACUCCAAAUACAUUAGUAAAGCUAAUAAAGUCAAGAUUGACAUUCUAAAAAUGGUGGAAAAGGAAAGCCAAUAAUUUUUUUAUUCUUUCCACCGCGGCUCAUGACUUGCUAACCUCACCGGCAUUUAUGAUACCAUUGAGCUCACGCUUAAUACUAGUCAACAUACUUUGGGAGACAAAAGGUGCAGCUUAUUUGCAGAAUGCUUAGAAAUGGUUGUAGCAAGACAUGAUUGGUUUCGCAAGAAUUGGCUUUAGAGAAACGUGCCCAAUAUGAAAAGGAGGACAAUCACGACACCGUAUCAUAUGAAUCAUAGUGGGGAACACGACAUUGAAAAUAUAGAAUUUAUUAGAAAUAUUGUUUGGUGUAAUUUGCAUGUAUUCAUUAUUAGGACACCAUUAUGUGUAAUUUUCUUUUGCAAGAUAUUUGAAGAUAUAUUUGUAUUUCAAUUUGGUUUAAUUGAAUGAGUGUUCUUCGUUAAUUCUCCUCAAUUGAUUUCAAUUAUUUUUAAAUUUUGCUAAAAAAGUUAGUUAAUCUCUUCUUGAAUUUUUCAUUAAAAAUUAAAAUUAAUUAAUUUUUUUUUAAAAUGGGCCCGAGCCAAUGGUAGCCUGACCCAACAUUUCCAUAGUAUCAACUCCAGCAGCUCGUGUUAUAUAGUUGUGGGCUAUACCCCUCAAGUUUGGUUUGGCCAUCCCAAGCAUUCUUCCACGUUCAAACUUCUCCUUUCUUUCUGAUGUCCAUAUCUAUUAGUGUGGACUCUCCGAUAAAUUGGUGGUCGUUUAGGACUCUAGGCGUCUCCUCCGAGGUCGACAUCAAAAGUUUCAAAUAUGCCAAUUAAGGCCAUCCCCCACACGGAAAAUUUGGCCCUUUUGGAGGUCGCUUCGGGAGACCUAGAAACUGUUCUUGGACCUUGAACGUCAGCUUGAACAAAUCAGCUCUGAGACCAAAAAAGGGAAGUAGGCAAUAUAUCAAAAUCGUAUGGAGACUAUGCAUAUUGACAUUCUAAUGCAGCGUGUUAGGAUCAUGAACUAACCGCUUCACUUGUUAUGAAAAAAGUGUCAUAUUUCUCAUGGUCAUGUAAGUAUCACCGACAAUUAAAGGCUGUAACUCAUCCUCGGAAUUAAUGUUAAAAAAUAAUCAACGUUCCAUUGACAAAAAGACUCCUAGAUUAUUUCCUUAUUAUCAUCCUCACCUUUGAUCGAAUGAGUAUAAAACCCUUUCACAACUUCAAAAUAAAUCUCCUCGGACAUCGACAAAAAACCAAAAAUCUAACCCAACCAGCUAAACCAUUUGCCUAAAUGGAAAUCUCUCCCGUGUGAAAAAAAAUUCAAAGUCGAUAUCCCGUCUCUUCCAACACAUCUCUAGCAGCAAAUGUAGACAAAUACAUUUGAUUAGCAAUUUUCACAAUUUUACAUGUCACUGCAGUAAGCUUAACCAGACACGGGUGUUAACACUUGAAUUUUACUUGAUAAAUCAAAUAUGCAUUUAAGUAAUAAAAAAUGAGAAAGAGAAAAAGAAUAGAAGAAGCCCUAUCCAUCAUUUCAUAUGGCCCUAUUCGCGCACCUGCGGCCCAUCUAUAAAGCCUGCCCAUUUCAGCACUUUUAAGGGGGAUGGGGGGAAAACACGUGAAAAAAAAAAAACAUCUUCUUCCAUAAACAGUCUCCUCCCUCCAAAUCUGAGGGGGAGACCACAUAAUAUUCAUAGUUAUGUUCAUCAUCAUUGGUAAUUCUCUCUCAGACCUUUCUCUCUCCAUAACCGCUCGCGCAGAGGACGCAAUGCCAAGGUGGGAUUGUCGGUUUUUUUCUGAGUAGGAGGGGACUGAGGAUCGUGUUUUGGGGGAAUGUCACGGAGAGAGUGAGGUAAGAAAGGGAGAUAGAAAUUACUCUGGAGGAAAAAACACAGAGUGGGAAUGAAAAUAAAUUUUGAGAGCACUUCGGGAGAUUUUCAGACUCCUUCCUUCGCGGUCAGACGUCUUCCGUCAUCACUCGCGGCCAUUCCCUUACCACGGCCCAAAAACGCUAUGUUAUCCUCUGUUUUAACACUCAAUCCAUGUUAAGAAAAGCCAGAAGAACAGAAGCGAGGAAACAGAGGCUUCUCAACUAAUGCUAUCACCGAUACCAGGAAGAACAGGGGAAGCGAAGAACAGAGGAAGCAAGACAUACAAGAGCGAUAAAGAGAAAACAUAUGUAGAAGAGGAAGUAGAAUAUGUACAUGCUACUAAGAAGAAUGAGAAGAAAACCUGUUGUGAACACUCUGUAUAAUGCUGCAAGUCUUGACUAGUCUCGGCAGUUAGUCUAGUGUAGUUCAGUUCUGGAAGUUAGUCAACAUUUGCUUCAGUUAGUUACUUUUUCUUCAACUGAUUCAAUACCUGUAAAAACAGUUUUUCAGAGUUAGUCCUUGUAUAUAAAAGGCUAACUCUCGAUUGAAUGUAAAUCAAUGAAAAACAGAAUAGAAGGAAGUUCUUCAUCUCAAGAUCUCUCUACAGAUUCUUCAUCCCAUUUUUCUUCUCUGCGCAUAAACUUCUUCAUGGUAUCAGAGCAUCUGCAUCUUGAAGAAAUCAUCUUGAUGCUGAACAAAGUAGAGAGAUCUACACCAGAUCAAAGUUAGAUUCGAAGCUUCUUUGAUCUCUGAAGAUAUCUGUAUCUUCCAACAAGAUCUGUGAGUUGGUAUUUUUCAUCCACAUCUAAAUCUUCAUCAGCAAUAUUCUUGUUGCAUCUUACUGCAAAUCAGUAGAAUUUGUGUCUGCAACUAGAAGUUGAUCAGAGAUCAGGAAGAAUAGAAUGGCAGCAAGAAGUUUGAGAUAUCCAUUUCCUAUUCAUGUCAAUAUCUCGAAUUUUGUUAACAUCAAAUUAGCUGAGGAUAAUUUCCUCCUGUGGCAAGCUCAAUUCUAUAGGUUCUUAAGAAGCCAAGAUCUAUUCGGUUUUGUGAAUGGGGAAAUUUCACCACCUGCAAAGACAGUACAAGUUGAAGAAGGAGGUCAAGUUUCUGAGAUCUCUAAUCCUGAUUAUAAUGAUUGAAUAAAAACUGAUCAACUUGUAUCCUCUUGGAUUAGUGGUGCAGUAUUAGAAAAUAUACUCAGCUUGAUAAUUGGGUUAAACACUGCUUAUGAAGUUUGGCAAGCUCUGUUAAAUCGGUUCACACAAAAAUCAGUAGCUAAGGGGUUCGAGUUAAGAGGAAAAUUGCAGGCUUGCCAGAAACGUGAACAAACAUUAUCAGCAUAUCUCAGGGAAAACAAGUCAACAUGUGAUCAAUUGAAUGCCAUAGGGAAACCAGUGGAUGAAAUCACAAAACUAUUUGGAAUUCUGGAAGGCUUGGGAUCUGAGUAUGAGAGUUUCAAAACUACAAUCUAUUGCUUGAAGCCCCAACCAGAAUAUGAUGAAGUAAUCUCACACUUAGAAAGAUUCGAAGCCAGGUUACAGAAUUAUUCUCUAAAUCAGUUUAGACCUAACCUAGCUUACUAUGGCUAGAGGAAAACUGAAGCUAUACAUAAAGAAGAGGCUGACAGAGAAUAUAUACAACCGAAUGCUAUUCUUAGAGGAUCAAGAGUAAGUAAUCGUGGAGGAAGAGAUUAUGGAAGAGGAAGAACAUAUAAUGCCAGAUAUAGAAACUUUGGUUAUCCUGGAAGAAAUAUGAGUUACAGAAAUAAUAACUCGAACUAUGAACAAGAAAAUCAGCAAUUCAAACAAAUCAAUACCUCCUCUGGCUUGGGUCCUGUUCAAGGGUUUAGACCAUACAAUGUAUCAGCACAAAGGUAUUCUGAUAUCAGGUCAUAUCCUGCACCAAAUUCAACUCUUCACAAAAAGGUACAAGUGGAGAAACCAGCAGAACACACUCGACUUGAGUGUCAAAUCUGUAAGAGGCCUGGUCAUGAUGCCUUACAUUGUUGGUAUCGGUUUGAUAACUCCUAUCAAGCUGAGGAUAUACCAACAGCACUAGCAGCACUACAUAUCGAGGAGGCAAAUGAUCAAGAAUGGUAUCCAGACACUGGAGCAACAGCUCAUAUUACCUCUAAUGCUGGUAUACUUCAUAGUCUUUCUAAAAAUAACAAUGCUGGNNNNNNNNNNNNNNNNNNNNNNNNNNNNNNNNNNNNNNNNNNNNNNNNNNNNNNNNNNNNNNNNNNNNNNNNNNNNNNNNNNNNNNNNNNNNNNNNNNNNUUGCUAGGAGUUACUUUUACUGCUAAACCUCUGUCGUCGGCAUUUCUUGAUAAACCUUUAAUCGUGAUUGUGCAGGCAUACAUAUAGUGUAGCUGAUUGUGCAUGAUGAUACAUGAUGUUUAUACCAAAAUCUCGCCAGGCUCGUUGUCAGCCUUUUCAAUGCAACGGGAAAUACUUGCUUGGAUUUGUGUCUAGUAAAUUAAAUGCAUGACCAUUGUUGAUUUUUUGAGACUGACAUAUGGCACUCAUGUGGAUUCACAAAAUUAAUAGUUAUGAUCCACACAAUUCAAUGGACCAAGUCUAAGGAAGAUAUUCUCAAUGUAGUGAAUUUUAUGGGAAGUGCACUAAUAUUCUAUUAUUCGUGUAAAGCUUCAUAUAGUUAAUUAGUUUGCUUUGAUAUACGUGCAUGCUAUCUAAAAUGCCGUUGGCAUAUUUCAAGAGUAACUCUUCAUCAAGCAAUUUAUUUUUUGUUUGGUUGGCAAUAAUUAGGACCGUCAUGAUGUUAGAUAGCGUAAGAUUGAUACUUGAAGGAAAAGUUUUUUUUAUUUAAUUUUCACAAUGGGUAGUAUCGAAAGAUAGAUGCUAUGCAAAAGAGUUGAGUUGUAAGACUUUAGGAAAAAUUGUGGUAAAAUUCAUAAACCUAUUGCUCGGCGGUCAAUUUAGUAAUAAAAUUUUUAAUUAUGCUAAUUUAAUCUUAAAUAUUUUAAUAAUUUAUCAAUGUAGUCCUUUUAACUAAAUUAAUCAGAAACUACUGAUGCGACGAUGCAGUCAAUACUAGUUAUCUCAUGUGAUAUGACCAGUAUUAACGUGGAUGAUUUUUAAUUUUAAUUUUUUUGAAUUCUUUUCUUUUUAGAAGUAGCUGGUCUUAAGCCAUGAUCGGAGAUCAACCACAAGCAAUGGACAAUGAUGGUUGGCCUCACUUGGGCAAGGGUCGCCCUUGCCCAAUGAUUGAUGAGGGCCAUCGGACCAUCGUCGGCCUCGUCAACUGCAACAAAAAAGGGAAAGAAAAGAGAAAAUAAAAUAAAGUCUAAAAAUUGAGAAAAGUUACAAAAAUUGUCCAUAUUAUUGUUGACGGUGUCACGUAGAAUAAUUGACAUCCGCAUUAUGAUUUGUUCAAAACCCCUAAGGCGAGUUCAUUUGUGUGGUUCAAAGUGUAAUGUAGACGAUAAAAUGCAGGAUUUCUUCNNNNNNNNNNNNNNNNNNNNNNNNNNNNNNNNNNNNNNNNNNNNNNNNNNNNNNNNNNNNNNNNNNNNNNNNNNNNNNNNNNNNNNNNNNNNNNNNNNNNNNNNNNNNNNNNNNNNNNNNNNNNNNNNNNNNNNNUCGUCACCUGAUUUUUGCCCGCAAAUUACGUCUUUUUAUAAAAAGGAAAUGGAGGUUUAUAAUAUAUAUAUAUAUAACAAAUGACAAAUUA